CCUAAAUGGCGAUAUGAUCUUGGAUGGAAGAAAAACUUUGAAUAGGUUAUAUUUGCCUUUUUGUUGAAUGUUUGUUUUCUUGUGUAUGCUUGUUCUUGCUUCUUUAUAAUACAUGUGUUUCAGUUUAUAAUCAUAUUCAUUGGAUAAUGGUGGUUCAUACAGUCAUCCUGCUCACAUGCUGCUACUGGAGGAAAAACAUCACUUUUAGUUCCUCCUCUGCAAAGAUCAUAAUGUUAUUGAGGCUAAGAUUUGGAACUAAUGUGUUUUAGAUUCCCAUAUUUAUUAUAAAUUUCCUUGAGUCACUUCUAUAGCACAAAUGGUUUUAGUAAAAAAAUUAUAAAUUGUGAUUCUCUGUGUCUUGCUUUGGCACAUCCAUAAUGUUUGCUUGUUCAAGCCCCUAUACAUGCUGUGACUUUCCUCUUAACUUGGAUUCUUCUUCUUUUGUUGUUGCUGAUACAAAUGUGGUCAAAUGAUUAAAUUGCUAUGCUAGUAUGACAAAACACUUGGAAAUUGGAAUAUUACAUUUCUGUUUUGUGGCUUCACUGGCCAAAGCCCAUAGAUAGCAUUCUGAUGUGUUUACAGUGGCUUUACUGUUGGUAAGUACCUUUUAAAUCAUCACCAUUUUUUCUUGUUAUAUGGAGUGCAUGACUUCAAACUGCUGUAGGACUAUGCUGGUAAUUCAUUCAUCUUCUUUUCCUUGUUUUAUGUUUUAUAUCAACAAUUUCUUCUUCUUUUUUUUUUUUUGCAAGUUUUAACCUCUCUCUACUUUUAUAGCCAAUAUAUUUGCAUGAAAUGUGUGUGGUGAAAAAACAAUAUAUUCACAAGAUUAGUAUGGUAAAAAUGAGGCUAUUAAGAUGGAUGUGGAAAUACAAUGAUGGACAGGAUAAAAAAAAGAGAGUGCAUUUGUAGAAAGGUGACAGUGGCAUGUAUUGUCGAAAAGUUGAGAGAAGGGACACUAACAUGAUUUAAUUACAUGCAAUGUGGACCACCAAAAGCACCUAUAUAUAAGCUUGGAUUAAAAAAAUUCGCAUAGUUCCAUCCCAAAUAAUUUGGAUUAAAGCUUAGUUCAUUUAAGCACAACUGAUACAUAUUUGAGUAUUUAAAACUGAUGGCAAGUGAUAUCAGGACUUGAAUCCAGAGAAAGCACUCUUAGAUUUACUUUUGUGAAUGAUUUCUGGAUUAUAUAAUAUUACAACCUCAUUUUAAAAUGUUCAGCUAUUGGUUUUGUUGGAAUGAAUUAUUACCUAGAAGAUUAUGUGUGAGUUAUGUUUUCUUUAUCUUCUUCCUUUAUGAGAAAUCUUGGCUUCAUUUCUGAUCAUGUUUGAAAACUCACGUAUCCCAUGGCUAUACUGUCAUAGUGUAAAGAUCAACCUAUAGGCAUGUAAAAUAUGUUGUGGUAAUCCAUAGGAAAUACAAAUUUUAAUCAUUGUUGAUUAUCUUUUUCUUUAUCAGGUAUUUGGGAUGGACAAGAGGUUCUGGCUCAUCCCUGCUUACUCAGAAGAUGAUUUGAAACGCAUGCCAGUGCUUCAGGGUUUUGAAUAUCCUACAAGACCCGAUUUAGAUGAGCUCCAACAGCUCUAACUGCACUAAGCAACACAGACUGUCAAAAUACCAUUCCUUCUCUCUACAUUUCUUAUGGCUUAGGCAUCCUGGAAAAAGUGGCUCACAGUGGCGAGAUCCUCACGAACUUUUGUGCUUGGACUACUAUCUAUGUGAGAUAUAUUCGUGGCAUGCCUUGAAAAAUUAGAAUUUUGUAAGACUGGAUUAUGCUAAAGGGUAAAACUAUCCAAUUCUGUAGAGUCAAAUUUUGCUUGUAUAUGCCAAAACAUUUUGUGAUUGCAUUGCAUUUACAUAACUAAAUUCAACAUUGUACUGUAUUUGCCAUAAGUUGAAAAACAAAUUCAAGUUCCCAUUUUCUUCUCUCAAGCCUGAACUGGUUUUAG
rnacentral:misc_RNA from 1 species